rnacentral:ncRNA from 1 species
UCACUGAAUUAGAGAUCGGGGCUUCUUUUAUUUUAUUAUUUUUAUAUUGAGGUUUAGUUAUGUCUCUAACUGCUGCAGAUAAAGCAAAAAUCGUUGCUGAUUUUGGUCGUGGU